CUUUCGUUCCGGCGGCUCCUAGAGCGUUUGCUUUGUUCCCGAUAUGUCUCGUCCCUCCGGGGUUAACUUGCAGAUGGUUGACCUGACCAAGCAGGACAGCAUGGAGGUUGGAGGGAGAGAAGGGCAUCGAGGGAGAUGAGAACUCACCUACCAUCUGAAAGUCUUAAGGUUUGCUGACAGACAAAACCGGGCUUUGAAUGGAGCGUGAACUCCUGAGGCGAGCAUUGGCCCGAGAGAGCCGAGGAUGCAGGUGUUGGUCUGAUCUUGAUUUCAGAAUACCAGAUGUGUUCCUGCUGCCCAGCCCCACAAGGCUAUGCAGAAUGCAAAGAAGAGUUACUUUUUGGCUGGGGAGUAGUGGUAUCAUGUGCACUAUUGCUGGAAAUAAUAAAUAUUGGCCUAUCUGUAGAAAUAAAAAUCUGACUAAUGAUAUUUA
rnacentral:lncRNA from 1 species